AGGUAAUUUUAAACCUAUAUUUUUUGGCGGCCUUUUAUCUUUUCAGAGGAAUUUGUCUAUGUUUAUCGUCAUUACCCGUUCAUUCUCACUUUUUUUCAUUUUCUAUACCACCGUCUUAAGAUAAAACUUCGAGGUUUUAUCUUAAACUCUUUUGAUAAGUCAGGUCAAGGUGGAGAUUAUAAAAAAGUUUAGAUUAAUUAUUUAUAAACAAUAUUUAAGGCCAGUUUUCUAAAGAAAUCCUAAAUGAAGAUUUGAAAGUAGUUUUUUAUUAAGUUUUUAACACGAAUUUGCUUUAGGUGU
rnacentral:rRNA from 1 species